rnacentral:rRNA from 1 species
CAGUAGCCGCGGUAAUACGAAGGGGGCUAGCGUUGUUCGGAAUUACUGGGCGUAAAGCGCACGUAGGCGGAUCGAUCAGUCAGGGGUGAAAUCCCAGGGCUCAACCCUGGAACUGCCUUUGAUACUGUCGAUCUGGAGUAUGGAAGAGGUGAGUGGAAUUCCGAGUGUAGAGGUGAAAUUCGUAGAUGUUCGGAGGAACACCAGUGGCGAAGGCGGCUCACUGGUCCAUUACUGACGCUGAGGUGCGAAAGCGUGGGGAGCAAACAGGAUUAGAUACCCCGGUAGUCCCUGUCUCUUAUAC